UAUGGCCAUAUCAAGUAGUCACUAGUUCCCAUAUGAUCACCAAAUAUAAGCACCAUUGAGCCUAAUCAGUACCUAGAUGGGUGACCUCUUGGGAAUAUCAGGUGCUGUAAG